rnacentral:rRNA from 1 species
AACAAAUGCCCUGCUUCCAGGAAAAGCCUCUAAGCAUCAGGUAACACGAAAUCGUACCCCAAACCGACACAGGUGGUCAGGUAGAGAAUACCAAGGCGCUUGAGAGAACUCGGGUGAAGGAACUAGGCAAAAUGGUGCCGUAACUUCGGGAGAAGGCACGCUGGCACGUAGGUGAAGCGGUUUACCCGUGGAGCUGAAGCCAGUCGAAGAUACCAGCUGGCUGCAACUGUUUAUUAAAAACACAGCACUGUGCAAACACGAAAGUGGACGUAUACGGUGUGACGCCUGCCCGGUGCCGGAAGGUUAAUUGAUGGGGUUAGCGGCAACGCGAAGCUCUUGAUCGAAGCCCCGGUAAACGGCGGCCGUAACUAUAACGGUCCUAAGGUAGCGAAAUUCCUUGUCGGGUAAGUUCCGACCUGCACGAAUGGCGUAAUGAUGGCCAGGCUGUCUCCACCCGAGACUCAGUGAAAUUGAAAUCGCUGUGAAGAUGCAGUGUACCCGCGGCAAGACGGAAAGACCCCGUGAACCUUUACUAUAGCUUGACACUGAACACUGGUCCUUGAUGUGUAGGAUAGGUGGGAGGCUUCGAAGCGUGGACGCCAGUCUGCGUGGAGCCGUCCUUGAAAUACCACCCUUUAAUGGCUGGUGUUCUAACGUGGACCCGUAAUCCGGGUUGCGGACAGUGUCUGGUGGGUAGUUUGACUGGGGCGGUCUCCUCCUAAAGCGUAACGGAGGAGCACGAAGGUUGGCUAAUCCUGGUCGGACAUCAGGAGGUUAGUGCAAUGGCAUAAGCCAGCUUGACUGCGAGCGUGACGGCGCGAGCAGGUGCGAAAGCAGGUCAUAGUGAUCCGGUGGUUCUGAAUGGAAGGGCCAUCGCUCAACGGAUAAAAGGUACUCCGGGGAUAACAGGCUGAUACCGCCCAAGAGUUCAUAUCGACGGCGGUGUUUGGCACCUCGAUGUCGGCUCAUCACAUCCUGGGGCUGAAGUAGGUCCCAAGGGUAUGGCUGUUCGCCAUUUAAAGUGGUACGCGAGCUGGGUUUAGAACGUCGUGAGACAGUUCGGUCCCUAUCUGCCGUGGGCGCUGGAGAAUUGAGGGGGGCUGCUCCUAGUACGAGAGGACCGGAGUGGACGCAUCACUGGUGUUCGGGUUGUCAUGCCAAUGGCACUGCCCGGUAGCUACAUGCGGAAGAGAUAAGUGCUGAAAGCAUCUAAGCACGAAACUUGCCCCGAGAUGAGUUCUCCCUGACUCCUUGAGAGUCCUGAAGGAACGUUGAAGACGACGACGUUGAUAGGCCGGGUGUGUAAGCGCAGCGAUGCGUUGAGCUAACCGGUACUAAUGAGCCGUGAGGCUUAACCUU